rnacentral:rRNA from 1 species
UGGGGAUUUUUCCGCAAUGGGCGAAAGCCUGACGGAGCAAUACCGCGUGAGGGAGGAAGGCUCUUGGGUUGUAAACCUCUUUUCUCAGGGAAGAAAAAAAUGACGGUACCUGAGGAAUAAGCAUCGGCUAACUCCGUGCCAGCAGCCGCGGUAAUACGGAGGAUGCAAGCGUUAUCCGGAAUGAUUGGGCGUAAAGCGUCCGCAGGUGGCUGUGUAAGUCUGCUGUUAAAGAGUCUGGCUCAACCAGAUAAAGGCAGUGGAAACUACACGGCUAGAGUGCGUUCGGGGCAGAGGGAAUUCCUGGUGUAGCGGUGAAAUGCGUAGAGAUCAGGAAGAACACCGGUGGCGAAAGCGCUCUGCUAGGCCGCAACUGACGCUGAGGGACGAAAGCUAGGGGAGCGAAAGGGAUUAGAUACCCCUGUAGUC